rnacentral:rRNA from 1 species
UACGAAGGGGGCUAGCGUUGCUCGGAAUCACUGGGCGUAAAGCGCACGUAGGCGGAUUGUUAAGUCAGGGGUGAAAUCCUGGAGCUCAACUCCAGAACUGCCUUUGAUACUGGCGAUCUCGAGUCCGGAAGAGGUAAGUGGAACUGCGAGUGUAGAGGUGAAAUUCGUAGAUAUUCGCAAGAACACCAGUGGCGAAGGCGGCUUACUGGUCCGGAACUGACGCUGAGGUGCGAAAGCGUGGGGAGCAAACAGG